rnacentral:RNase_P_RNA from 1 species
CGAGACAGCCUGGCAAUCGCCGGCGGCUGGCCCCUUGGGGUAACGGUCGCGGGAGGAAAGUCCGAGCUCCACAGGACAGGGUGCCGGGUAACGCCCGGUCGGGGUGACCCGGAGGAAAGCGCAACAGAGAGCAGACUGCCAGGGUGUUCGCACCCUUCGUUCACGGUGUACGGCCAUCCCUCGCGGCACGGCGGUUCACACGGAACGGGUCGACAUUGUCGGCGGUGAGGUUGAAAGGGUGCGGUAAGAGCGCACCGGCGGCCCCGGUGACGGGGUCGGCCAGGCAAACCCCACUCGGAGCAAGACCAAAUAGAGGAGUGCUUGAGGGCUGUCCGCCCGAGCUCCCGGGUUGGUUGCUCGAGUCCGUCGGUAACGGCGGGCCUAGAUGAAUGAUUGCUACCGAGGUCUCGGGCGACCGAACCUCGGCACAGAACUCGGCUUAUGGCCGUCUCGAACC